rnacentral:rRNA from 1 species
GACGAACGCUGGCGGCGUGCCUAAUACAUGCAAGUAGAACGCUGAAGGAGGAGCUUGCUUCUCUGGAUGAGUUGCGAAUGGGUGAGUAACGCGUAGGUAACCUGCCUGGUAGCGGGGGAUAACUAUUGGAAACGAUAGCUAAUACCGCAUAAUAUUGACUAUUGCAUGAUAGUCAGUUGAAAGGUGCAACUGCACCACUACCAGAUGGACCUGCGUUGUAUUAGCUAGUUGGUGGGGUAACGGCUCACCAAGGCGACGAUACAUAGCCGACCUGAGAGGGUGAUCGGCCACACUGGGACUGAGACACGGCCCAGACUCCUACGGGAGGCAGCAGUAGGGAAUCUUCGGCAAUGGACGGAAGUCUGACCGAGAAACGCCGCGUGAGUGAAGAAGGUUUUCGGAUCGUAAAGCUCUGUUGUAAGAGAAGAACGAGUGUGAGAGUGGAAAGCUCACACUGUGACGGUAUCUUACCAGAAAGGGACGGCUAACUACGUG